CUGGUGGCGAGUGGCGAACGGGUGAGGAAUACAUCGGAACGUGUCUAUAAGUGGGGGAUAACGCAUCGAAAGGUGUGCUAAUACCGCAUAAUCUCUCAGGAGAAAAGCAGGGGAUCGCAAGACCUUGCGCUUUAGGAGCGGCCGAUGCCUGAUUAGCUAGUUGGUAAGGUAAAAGCUUACCAAGGCUUCGAUCAGUAGCUGGUCUGAGAGGACGACCAGCCACACUGGGACUGAGACACGGCCCAGACUCC
rnacentral:rRNA from 1 species